rnacentral:rRNA from 1 species
AUUGAACGCUGGCGGAAUGCUUUACACAUGCAAGUCGAACGGCAGCACGGGUGCUUGCGCCUGGUGGCGAGUGGCGAACGGGUGAGUAAUAUAUCGGAACGUACCCAGUAAUGGGGGAUAACUAACCGAAAGGUUAGCUAAUACCGCAUACGCCCUGAGGGGGAAAGCGGGGGACCGUAAGGCCCCGCGUUAUUGGAGCGGCCGAUAUCUGAGUAGCUAGUUGGGGAGGUAAAGGCUCACCAAGGCGACGAUCAGUAGCAGGUCUGAGAGGAUGAUCUGCCACACUGGAACUGAGACACGGUCCAGACGCCUACGGGAGGCAGCAGUGGGGAAUUUUGGACAAUGGGCGAAAGCCUGAUCCAGCCAUUCCGCGUGAGUGAAGAAGGCCUUCGGGUUGUAAAGCUCUUUCGGCAGGGAAGAAACGGUCUAGGUUAAUACCUUGGGCUAAUGACGGUACCUGAGGAAGAAGCACCGGCUAACUACGUGCCAGCCGCCGCAGUAAGAC